rnacentral:ncRNA from 2 species
UGAUGUUGACGACGAAAUGGCUCCCGAAGGCUCAUCGCCGAUGGGAUUAAAAGGGAACACGGUGCGGCCUAGCUGUAUGGCGCCUAUCCCGUGACUGCCCCCGCAAACUGUGAACGGCAAGCGGCCUGCAUAUGCCACUGGAUCAACAGAAUCCGGGAAGGCGCAGUACCGCGGCGAGCCGUGAGCAGGAGACCUGCCAUUGUUUUCGAAACGCA